rnacentral:rRNA from 1 species
GAUGAACGCUGGCGGCGUGCCUAAUACAUGCAAGUCGAGCGAACAGAUGAGGAGCUUGCUCCUCUGACGUUAGCGGCGGACGGGUGAGUAACACGUGGAUAACCUACCUAUAAGACUGGGAUAACUUCGGGAAACCGGAGCUAAUACCGGAUAAUAUAUUGAACCGCAUGGUUCAAUAGUGAAAGACGGUUUUGCUGUCACUUAUAGAUGGAUCCGCGCCGCAUUAGCUAGUUGGUAAGGUAACGGCUUACCAAGGCAACGAUGCGUAGCCGACCUGAGAGGGGGAUCGGCCACACUGGAACUGUGACGCGGUCCAGACUCCUACGGGAGGCAGCAGUAGGGAAUCUUCCGCAAUGGGCGAAAGCCUGACGGAGCAACGCCGCGUGAGUGAUGAAGGUCUUCGGAUCGUAAAACUCUGUUAUUAGGGAAGAACAAAUGUGUAAGUAACCAUGCACGUCUUGACGGUACCUAAUCAGAAAGCCACGGCUAACUACGUG